rfam:Chlorocebus sabaeus isolate 1994-021 chromosome 11, whole genome shotgun sequence.
AGUAAGGAUUUUCAUCCACCCUGAAUGUGCCUGAUCAAGUUUGAUCUCGGAAGCUAAGCAGGGUCAGGCCUGGUUAGUACUUGGGUGGAAUUAGGAUAUUCUUAAUA